GCCCUUGUAGCUCAGCUGGAAGAGCGUGCGCUACACAAAAGCGAUGGCAGAGUUUAUGCGUGGGUUCGAAUCCCAUCGAGGUUA
rnacentral:tRNA from 1 species